AAGGGGAAUAUGAAGCCCUCUCAGCCUAUCCACCUCAGCAAAUUAAAUCAACCAAUUAGAAGACUCCAAUUAAGUUAACCCAUUAAACCCAAAAUUAUGAAAGAGUGUUGAUUUGUAUCGUUUGCUUUCCAUCUUCUAUCCGUGUAAUCCUCACUGUACAGCUUCUCUUCCUUAAAUCGCUAUUGGGAGAGUGUUGUAGCAAGGCUCCUUCGAUUCUGGGAAGCUCGCCUUGAUCUGUUACGGAUCCAUGGAAAGGUGAUCCAUAUUCUUCUCCAACACUGUCGGGUCUGAUUAGAACUCGUGCUCUCCGAUAACAACGGGUCAAGACGAAUCCUGAGGCAGAGGGCCCGUUGAGAGAUUUCUCUGUCCAAGUCAGCAAGCAUCUCGGCCCUGGAGCAGCUCAACACCUCUGCUAUUGACCAAAUGGUCAAGAGAAAACAAGAUGGAGAAGAUGAAGAUAUUAGUGAUCAGAGUGAUCACAGUGGGACAGCCGCUGCAUAUCAACCCGUCUCCAUCACACAUACGAAAAAGGCGUUGGUAUUGUGUACAAUCAGAGUUUAUAGUUUAUACUGGAUUUCUAAAUCUAAUGAAUCUGAUAUCAAUGAUAGCGCAAACUCAGCUUCUAUGCUACGAAAAGAAACUGCCUGGAUACGAACAUCCUACUAUAAUAGAGUCUAUGGUCUCCCACAUUCAUAAGGUAUAAGCCGUCGCUUCAAGUUGAUACUAUUUAAUUUAUUACAUUAUUUAGGGAAGUCAGCCCGCCAAGUGAGCACGCAGCUACGCCAAGUUAAGCAACUUGCUCGCAAUCAAGCAGGAAAGCUAGAGGAACCAUAAGGCACUUAAACUAAAACUAAUCUCGCAUUGGUCCUACCCUUUCUGGCAUGUUUCCUUUAACCAUUGUGCUCAGGUGCGGUGCAGCUAACAAUUCACAACACACCUUGAAUGGGUUGUAAUGAAGCUUCGCUUAGGACAUCUCCCAUUUUCAAAGCCUGAAAAUUUUCCACCAGCCAACUUUUUCAUUUGUUCACAGCUCAACAUGCCAGCAGUAGUACAACACCAACUCUUACAUGUGUACAACAAAGCCUAGGCCCCCAUGCUGUGAUACCAACAAACGGAGCAGAGGAUAUAGCUGCAACAUCUACUCCCUACUGAGGCUUUUAGCUUCAGGUAAGAUUCAGCACCCGAAGACAUGAUCCUCCCAAGUGCCAAAUUCCACAUAAUUGAGUUUCUCUGCAUGACCAAAGUGACUGGAAUUCAGCCAGAGAAAGGUUGGUGUUAUAUAGGCUGCUCCAAUUGUUCCAAAAAACUCCACUGAGAGAUAUCUUCCUUCACAUGUAUCCCAUGUAAUAAUAAAAACAAUGCCAUUGGUGCACUGAGGUAUCGAGUGGAACUGUCUGUCUCAGACGUAACUGAUGAUGCUGUUUUUGUGGCUUUUGAUAUAGGGAUGGCUAAACUGACGAACAUUCAAGCUGCUGAAAUUUUGGUGGAAGGAGUUUAUGCUAAGGUUGACGCUGAACUCCUUCGGUUCGUUGCUGAAAUUUUUGGGAAGACGUACACCUUCCAGCUGAAGAUAGGCGAAUUCAAUUUCCCUUCAAAACCCCAAACCUUCACCAUCUCCUGUAUCUUUGCUGAGCGACAUCAGUCACCUUUGCCAGGAUUUGUUAUAGAUAGGUUCCUGAUGCUCAUCUUCCUGGAGUGAGUGCACUAGCUUCGAAUGUCGCUGCUGAUGAGAACUCCAAUUUUUCUCCCCAGCCAUCCACGUCUGCUGAUCCAACUGUCGAAAUGUGAACUUGGCGAGAGUGGAACCAAGAAGGCACGCUUGGCAUAAGUUCACGUGGAUACCUUUGACAACCCCUAAAAUUUAUUAUCAAAUAAUAUGCUUUAGCAUCUUUUUCUACUUUGUGUUUCAAAAAAAAAACAUAUUUUUCUAUUUUUGUUUUGAACUCACUGUAGUGAUCAGUGUUUGAAUUAUUAAUGAAAGUUUUUGUAGGAUA